UGAAAGCUGUGACCUGGAAGCUGGCCCUAACAAAUGUUGUCUUGUCACUCUUUGUCUAAUGAAGGUUCAGUAGUAGUAGUACGAAGCUAACCAGCAAAGACUCACACCUCAGACCUGUGGCAGCUGAAGACCUGCGGGUUGUGGGCUCAAACCCCGCUUGCUGUACUCUUGAGCGAGGUGCUUCACUCAGGUCGUCCCAAAAACCCGAUAUUCAGAGAAAAUUGUUUUCAACACCUUUCAACGUUCAACGUUCAAGAGGACACAGAUCUCGAGAUCUUCAUUCUUUCUCCAUUGCCAGUAAUAAUUAUUGCGGAAGACGUCUGUUUUUAACCCCACAUUAAGAAAACUUCAUAUUUCUGGAUAACUAGGAAAAAUAAACGACUGCCUGGUUUUGAUGA